UACGUAGGUGGCAGGCGUUAUCCGGAUUUACUGGGCGUAAAGAGCGCGCAGGCGGUCGUUCAAGUCGCGUGUGAAAGCCCCCGGCUCAACUGGGGAGGGUCACGCGAUACUGAUCGACUGGAAGGCAGGAGAGGGUAGUGGAAUUCCCGGUGUAGUGGUGAAAUGCGUAGAUAUCGGGAGGAACACCAGUGGCGAAGGCGACUACCUGGCCUGUUCUUGACGCUGAGGCGCGAAAGCUAGGGGAGCAAACGGG
rnacentral:rRNA from 1 species